UACGUAGGGGGCAAGCGUUGUCCGGAUUUAUUGGGCGUAAAGAGCGUGUAGGCGGCUUUACAGGUCCGUUGUGAAAACUCGAGGCUCAACCUCGAGACGCCGGUGGAAACCGUAAGGCUAGAGUCCGGAAGAGGAGAGUGGAAUUCCUGGUGUAGCGGUGAAAUGCGCAGAUAUCAGGAAGAACACCCGUGGCGAAGGCGGCUCUCUGGGACGGUACUGACGCUGAGACGCGAAAGCGUGGGUAGCAAACAGG
rnacentral:rRNA from 1 species